rnacentral:tRNA from 1 species
CCUUCUAUUAUACCGAAAUUUAAUUAUUAAUAAAAGUUUUAUUUUUACUUCUACUUAGUUUUUCAAAAAAAAUUAAAAAAAAUUUGAAUAGGGAAAAGAAGUAAAUAUUUCUCUUUUUUUCAUUCAAAUUUUUUAUGUUAAGUAAAAUCUAAUUUAAAUUAAUAAAAGAGU